rnacentral:tRNA from 1 species
AAGGUCUUAGCAUAGUGGUAAUGCAGUGGACUCCAAACCCAUGUACGUAGGUUCGAUUCCUACAGACUUUGCCA